GUAUAUACUAAAGAAAAAAAAGGGAUACGAAUGAUUUUCCGAAUAUCAAUCAUAUCUCUGGCUCUAGCUACAUAUUUAGGAAUAAGAUAUGUUGAGGCCUACUGUCCAGACAACUGGAGGGGAUUUUUCGCAAAUUGUUAUCUUUUCCUCACCCACCUUCCAAUGAACUGGCAAAGUGCGUGGGAUUACUGUGCACACAGAGGUGCCAAGUUAGUAGAAAUAGAUGUUUAUGAGGACAACUUUAUCAUACAAAACGCAGAAGAUUUUCAUAC